rnacentral:tRNA from 1 species
UUUAUAUAUAGCUUAUAAAAAGCACAGUUUUGAAGGAACUGAUAAAUUUCUAAAGAAGUUAUAUUAAU